UAUGUGCAGGUGUGCAUAUACUUGUGUGUGCAUGUACAUGUGUGUGGAGGCCAUACAUUGACAUCAGAUCC
rnacentral:miRNA from 1 species